UUUGACCUCAAAUCAGGUAGGACUACCCGCUGAACUUAAGCAUAUCAAUAAGCGGAGGAAAAGAAACUAACAAGGAUUCCCCUAGUAACUGCGAGUGAAGCGGGAAAAGCUCAAAUUUGAAAUCUGGUAGUCUUUGGCUG
rnacentral:rRNA from 1 species